CGAACGACCCAGUGGAACUGCCCAUUGGUUCAAUUGCUGUAAGAGGGCUGACAAGUUGAUGCAAAUAUGUUGCGCAGAGCAUGUGAGAAAUGCUUCAGCCUCAGGAGGCAGGGCUGACUUACAAGAAAGAGGCUGACUUCUUUCAAUUUCUCCUGUCUGUUCAGUCCAUUUUCUCAUCCAGCCUUCGUUUUGAGGGACACCUACCUGCUCAAAGUCCUCAGUGCUCUCUGCUCUGUUCCCUUUCAGGCAGCAGUCUGGUCGCACUGUGCCUUCUUCUAAUUUUUUCAAGAAAUAAAGAGGAUAAGACUCAACCAAACCCAUGGUGUUUUUGUUAUUCCAAGGCACAUUUUCAAAGGAGAAUCAUACUAAAUACACAUGGAGUACAGCAUAUCAGACAGACAUGUGAUUAAUGAUCCACCUGAUUAUUUCAGGCCACUUGGUGCAGUGCACUAUUAUUACAAACACUGGAUGAAACCUGUAAAGAGAAAAAGGAAAGUUCAUCGUCA